UGCCAGACUCCUACGGGAGGCAGCAGUGGGGAAUAUUGCACAAUGGGGGAAACCCUGAUGCAGCGACGCCGCGUGAGUGAAGAAGUAUUUCGGUAUGUAAAGCUCUAUCAGCAGGGAAGAAAAUGACGGUACCUGACUAAGAAGCCCCGGCUAACUACGUGCCAGCAGCCGCGGUAAUACGUAGGGGGCAAGCGUUAUCCGGAUUUACUGGGUGUAAAGGGAGCGUAGACGGUGAUGCAAGUCAGAUGUGAAAUCCCGCGGCUCAACCGCGGAACUGCAUUUGAAACUGUCAGUCUUGAGUACCGGAGAGGUCAUCGGAAUUCCUUGUGUAGCGGUGAAAUGCGUAGAUAUAAGGAAGAACACCAGUGGCGAAGGCGGAUGACUGGACGGCAACUGACGGUGAGGCGCGAAAGCGUGGGGAGCAAACAGGAUUAGAUACCCGCGUA
rnacentral:rRNA from 1 species